rnacentral:rRNA from 1 species
AACGAACGCUGGCGGCAUGCCUAACACAUGCAAGUCGAACGAGACCUUCGGGUCUAGUGGCGCACGGGUUCGUAACGCGUGGGAAUCUGCCCUUGGGUUCGGAAUAACAGUUGGAAACGACUGCUAAUACCGGAUGAUGACGUAAGUCCAAAGAUUUAUCGCCCAGGGAUGAGCCCGCGUAGGAUUAGCUAGUUGGUGGGGUAAAGGCCUACAAAGGCGACGAUCCUUAGCUGGUAUGAGAGGAUGAUCAGCCACACUGGGACUGAGACACGGCCCAGACUCCUACGGGAGGCAGCAGUGGGGAAUAUUGGACAAUGGGCGAAAGCCUGAGCCAGCAAUGCCGCGUGAGUGAUGAAGGCCUUAGGGUUGUAAAGCUCUUUUACCCGGGAUGAUAAUGACAGUACCGGGAGAAUAAGCACCGGCUAACUCCGU